rnacentral:rRNA from 1 species
UACGAAGGGGGCUAGCGUUGCUCGGAAUUACUGGGCGUAAAGGGCGCGUAGGCGGACAGUUAAGUCGGGGGUGAAAGCCCGGGGCUCAACCUCGGAAUUGCCUUCGAUACUGGCUGUCUUGAGUGCGGGAGAGGUGUGUGGAACUCCGAGUGUAGAGGUGAAAUUCGUAGAUAUUCGGAAGAACACCAGUGGCGAAGGCGACACACUGGCCCGUUAACUGGACGCUGAGGCGCGAAAGCGUGGGGAGCAAACAGG